rnacentral:tRNA from 1 species
GGGCCUAUAGCUCAAUGGUAGAGCACCAGACUUUUAAUCUGUUGGUUCGGGGUUCGAAUCCCCGUGGGCCUACCA